rnacentral:rRNA from 1 species
GACGAACGCUGGCGGCGUGCCUAAUACAUGCAAGUAGGACGCUGAAGGAGGAGCUUGCUUCUCUGGAUGAGUUGCGAACGGGUGAGUAACGCGUAGGUAACCUGCCUGGUAGCGGGGGAUAACUAUUGGAAACGAUAGCUAAUACCGCAUAAGAGUAGAUGUUGCAUGACAUUUGUUUAAAAGGUGCAAUUGCAUCACUACCAGAUGGACCUGCGUUGUAUUAGCUAGUUGGUGGGGUAACGGCUCACCAAGGCGACGAUACAUAGCCGACCUGAGAGGGCGAUCGGCCACACUGGGACUGAGACACGGCCCAGACUCCUACGGGAGGCAGCAGUAGGGAAUCUUCGGCAAUGGACGGAGGUCUGACCGAGCAACGCCGCGUGAGUGAAGAAGGUUUUCGGAUCGUAAAGCUCUGUUGUAAGAGAAGAACGAGUGUGAGAGUGGAAAGUUCACACUGUGGCGGUAUCGUACAAGAAAGGGACGGCUAACUACGU